GCACCUCCCACUGGACGGAGAGCUGAGGAAGGACGAACAGAACCUCAGAUGAAAGUCUGAGCGGCUGCUGGGGUCAAGCAAGUGGAUGCCAGGCAUCAACAAAUGCCAACUGCCCCUCCUUUAGCUAAUGGCACGCACUCGCCCAGUUCCAAACCCUGGCAUCAGGACUAUGCUUGAAGCUCAAACAAAUAACAGGAGCCUUAAUCUGGAGGGUUCUGAGUAAGAAGAAGUUGCUGCUCCAAGAGUUCACUAAGGAGGGGACCUGACGAAAGUGUGAAAGGAGGCUGUGGAGAUGGUCACCGUGAUAUUCCAGUGGAAAUACUGUUUCAUGCAGAUUGAAAAAGGCAACGUGUCGAACAGAACAGUGAAGGAUGCUGCUGUACAGAUUGUUCUAGUGCCAAAGCACUAUGGAGCCAGAUUCUGGAGUCCACAAAAAAGGAAAUGGUACACUUGUGGAUAAAUCCACAUUUUAGGGGGCAAUUGAUCUGCUUGGAAUUACUCAUUGACAUGACAUAAAAACACCUGGAAUUCUUGUCUCUUAACUAUGAUUAUAGAGCCCAAAUAUAUGGUUGUCAGCUAUUU